rnacentral:rRNA from 1 species
UUGUGAGGUUAAGCGACUAAGCGUACACGGUGGAUGCCCUGGCAGUCAGAGGCGAUGAAGGACGUGCUAAUCUGCGAUAAGCGCCGGUAAGGUGAUAUGAACCGUUAUAACCGGCGAUUUCCGAAUGGGGAAACCCAGUGUGAUUCGUCACACUAUCAUUAACUGAAUCCAUAGGUUAAUGAGGCGAACCGGGGGAACUGAAACAUCUAAGUACCCCGAGGAAAAGAAAUCAACCGAGAUUCCCCCAGUAGCGGCGAGCGAACGGGGAGGAGCCCAGAGCCUGAAUCAGCAUGUGUGUUAGUGGAAGCGUCUGGAAAGGCGCGCGAUACAGGGUGACAGCCCCGUACACAAAAGCGCAUGUGCUGUGAGCUCGAUGAGUAGGGCGGGACACGUGGUAUCCUGUCUGAAUAUGGGGGGACCAUCCUCCAAGGCUAAAUACUCCUGACUGACCGAUAGUGAACCAGUACCGUGAGGGAAAGGCGAAAAGAACCCCGGCGAGGGGAGUGAAAAAGAACCUGAAACCGUGUACGUACAAGCAGUGGGAGCACAGGUUUACCUGUGUGACUGCGUACCUUUUGUAU